UUUUAAAUUUUUAGAUUGAAAACUACAUCAAUAUUUUUUGAGAGCGAAAUUAUAUUAAGAUUUUCAGUUUUAGAUAGAGAAACUGUAUCAAGAUUUUUAGAACACAUUCAAGUAUUAGAGAGAGAAAGUAUCUCAAAAAUUUUAGAAAACUUUUAAAGUAUUAGAGAGAUACACCAUCUCAAAGUUUUUAGAGAAAGUAUUUUAAUAUUUUUAGGGAAAGAAACAAUAUCAAAGUUUUGAAAGAGAAAUUACCUCAAAUUUCAAAUUUAGACAAAUAUCUCAAAGUUUUUAAAGACAGAAAUUCUAUCAAAUUUUAAGUUUUGGAAAGAGAAAAUAUCCUAAAAGUUUUAGAGAGAGAAACUAACAUGAAUUUUUUAAAGAGAGAGAAACUAUCGAAAAUUUUAGUUUAUACAUAGGGGUAUUUUCAUUCUAAAACACUACAUUAUCAAUUGGGGGGUGGACACACAAAUAAAUAGUAAUGGGAUCAGUGGUGUGGUUUAAAAAAAUGCUUGGGGGAGUAUGCCUAAGAAGUAUAAUUCAA
rnacentral:lncRNA from 1 species